GGACUGUCUUUCCAGGUCCCUUGAAGUCCGUUAUGACUGGAUUGUACUGUUCAGGAGGAUCAAGUCACAUGUGCGUCCAACCGGAUCACCGCAGAGCCAAUGUGGGAGCAUGAAUCCUUCUGCUGAAACACGGAUGCAGCCAAUCAGGACCAGACUGUGACAUUCAGCAGGCAUGACUCCCGCAUGACUCACAGAGGUCCGACACGGCGCUGUCCUGCAAUCGCUCGGAUUACUGCGACUCCGGGAGGCACAGAGCCGACGGAGGGCAAGAAGACCUGUUUGUCCUG